rnacentral:rRNA from 1 species
UACAGAGGGUGCAAGCGUUGUUCGGAAUUAUUGGGCGUAAAGCGCGUGUAGGCGGCUUUGCAAGUCGGGUGUGAAAGCCCUCAGCUCAACUGAGGAAGUGCGCCUGAAACUGCAUGGCUUGAGUACCGGAGAGGAUGGUGGAAUUCCCGAAGUAGAGGUGAAAUUCGUAGAUAUCGGGAGGAACACCGGUGGCGAAGGCGACCAUCUGGACGGAUACUGACGCUGAGACGCGAAAGCGUGGGUAGCAAACAGG